AUUGAGCGCUGGCGGCAUGAUUUACACAUGCAAGUCGAACGGUAACAGGCCGCAAGGUGCUGACGAGUGGCGAACGGGUGAGUAAUGCAUCGGAACGUGCCCAGUCGUGGGGGAUAACUACUCGAAAGAGUAGCUAAUACCGCAUACGAUCUAUGGAUGAAAGCGGGGGACCGUAAGGCCUCGCGCGAUUGGAGCGGCCGAUGUCAGAUUAGGUAGUUGGUGGGGUAAAGGCACACCAAGCCAACGAUCUGUAGCUGGUCUGAGAGGACGAGCGGCCACAUGAGGACGGGGACACGGCCAAGAGGCCUAAGGGAGGCAGCAGUGGGGAAUGUUGGACAAUGGGGGCAAGCAUGAUCCAGCAAGGCGGCGUGCAGGAAGAAGGCCUUCGGGUUGUAAACUGCUUUUGUACGGAACGAAACGGCUCUGGUUAAGACCCGGGGUGAAUGACGGUACCGUAAGAAUAAGCACCGGCUAACUACGUG
rnacentral:rRNA from 1 species